AGAUAUUCUACUUAUUUAGAAGCGGGAGUUGAGGUGCUUUUCGUCGUCCUCACAGGUAUGUUGGGAAUUCUGCUGGAGAAUAUCAACAGCUGCAUUGGAGUUGGUAAAAUUUUUAUGAUGCCCUUGUUGGUAGUUUUACGAUUUCACUUUUCUCUCACUUAGUGUAAAUAACAGUAAAACCAAGGGCAAAGUUAGACUUGAAAAGGUCGCGGUACCAUGGGACCCACAACAUUUACGCAAGCAGAUGCCUGUCAUCAUUUUUGAUAAUAAUACGAAAAUGUAACAAAAUCCUAAGCUUUCAGUCGUUUCUCUCAUCUCCGCCUGAAGCUCUCUUUCUCCGAUGGAAUCUACAUGUAAGUUCAUUCUUUCCCUCUCACUACAAUUAUCUUAAUAGGUAUGUGGUCGAUUAGGAAUGCUUGGGCUGCAAAAUUAAGUAUUUUAAUCUUUUUUUGGGUAUCUUUUUGGUUUGUUGAUUUCUGUAAGAAAAAGUUUGUGUUUGUUCGACAUUUCAUUUUUUAGCACCGGGAACAACUACAGUUCCCAGGUUUCUCGUCGAGUUAAAAUGUUUAUUUUGGAUUUCUUCCCCUUAUAGGAUCUGUGUGGUCACAUAAAGUUCAGUUACUGCCUAUGAGCCAUUAGAAUGAGUGUUACCACUCGCUUUGCACUUAAUUGGUGGAGUGUGAAGCCAAAAUUUAUUUAAUAGCACCUCAUUCAAUAAAACUUAACAAAGAGCAUGUAAAGUUUUAAUAUCCACUUGGAUUAGGAAGUGUCAUAAGGGCAAAAUCAGUGACAUAUUUGACGUUUCUAUCCAUUAAUUUUUAGUUGUUAUUUUGUUUGAAGAUUAGUCAAGGAGCUGUUUUAGCUGGUCAUUUGGGAGCGAGCGAUCUUAACGAUUUAUAUCCAGUCGGAUCGAAAUCGCUUUCAAGACAAUGACUUGCCACGACACAGUUUUAUUCGAUAAGUUAUUUUUAUUUUCUUAUUAUACUUGGUCAAUAUUAUCAAUUAAUUUUCUAACAAUGACUGGUUUACUCUUGUCUUUUGUUGUAUUAUGUGCAUCCGUAGGGUUGUCCUUAGUUUUAUUUUUUCCUUCUUUCAAAAAAAAUGUUUUGAAGGCAUUAUUCCUAUGGAAUCUCUCUCACCUUCAAUUCUUAUGAAUAAAUAUUAGGAAAUCCUCACAAAAUGCAUAUAGUCCAAUGACGACCCCCUCCUCUCAUAUAAAAAUGGAAAAAAUUAAGGAAAAAAGAAGAGCAAUGAAACAAGAAGAAAUAACAGAAAUUAAGUUGUGGUCUGAACUAAUUGCACGUG
rnacentral:lncRNA from 1 species